ensembl:misc_RNA Metazoa_SRP Metazoan signal recognition particle RNA
GCUGGGUAUGGUGGCACAUGCCUGUAGUCCCAGCUACUUGGGAAGUUGAGGUGGGAGGAUCACUCGAGUCCGGGAGUUCAAAGCUAUGGUGAGCUAUGAUUGUACCACUGUACUCCAGCCUGGGCAACAGAGUGAGACUCCAUCUCAA